rnacentral:rRNA from 1 species
GGAUGAACGCUGGCGGCGUGCCUAAUCCAUGCAAGUCGAGCGAACAGACGAGGAGCUUGCUCCUUUGACGUUAGCGGCGGACGGGUGAGUAACACGUGGGUAACCUACCUAUAAGACUGGGAUAACUUCGGGAAACCGGAGCUAAUACCGGAUAAUAUUUCGAACCGCAUGGUUCGAUAGUGAAAGAUGGCUUUGCUAUCACUUAUAGAUGGACCUGCGCCGUAUUAGCUAGUUGGUAAGGUAACGGCUUACCAAGGCAACGAUACGUAGCCGACCUGAGAGGGUGAUCGGCCACACUGGAACUGAGACACGGUCCAGACUCCUACGGGAGGCAGCAGUAGGGAAUCUUCCGCAAUGGGCGAAAGCCUGACGGAGCAACGCCGCGUGAGUGAUGAAGGUCUUCGGAUCGUAAAACUCUGUUAUUAGGGAAGAACAAACGUGUAAGUAACUGUGCACGUCUUGACGGUACCUAAUCAGAAAGCCACGGCUAACUACGUG